GAUGAAGAACGUAGCGAAAUGCGAUACGUAGUGUGAAUUGCAGAAUUCAGUGAAUCAUCGAAUCUUUGAACGCACAUUGCACCUCUCGGUAUUCCGGGAGGUAUGCCUGUUCGAGCGUCAUUUGUACCCUCAAGCUCUGCUUGGUGUUGGGUGUUUGUUCCGCCUCUGUGUGUGAACUCGCCUCAAAACAAUUGGCAGCCGGCGUACUUGUUUCGGAGCGCAGCACAUUUUGCGAUCCAGAUCAACGUACAGCGGCAUCCAAGAAGCCUUAUUUAACGCUCUUGACCUCGGAUCAGGUAGGGAUACCGCUGAACUUAAGCAUAUCAAUAAGCGGAGGA
rnacentral:misc_RNA from 1 species